rnacentral:rRNA from 1 species
GAAAGUUAGAGGAUCGAAGGCGAUAAGAUACCGCCCUAGUUCUAACCGUAAACUAUGCCAAUUAGCUAUUGGGAGACGCUACAUUAGGUAUGGUGCUCUCAGUAGCUUCCGGGAAACCAAAAUUAGGU